rnacentral:rRNA from 1 species
GAUGAACGCUAGCGGCAGGCUUAACACAUGCAAGUCGAGGGGUAGAGGCUUUCGGGCCUUGAGACCGGCGCACGGGUGCGUAACGCGUAUGCAAUCUGCCUUGUACUGGGGGAUAGCCCAGAGAAAUUUGGAUUAAUACCCCAUAGUAUUUUCGUUUGGCAUCAACUGAUUAUUAAAUUUUUUCGGUACAAGAUCAGCAUGCGUCCCAUUAGCUAGUUGGUAUGGUAACGGCAUACCAAGGCUACGAUGGGUAGGGGUCCGGAGAGGGAGAACCCCCACACUGGUACUGAGACACGGACCAGACGCCUACGGGAGGCAGCAGUGAGGAAUAUUGGUCAAUGGUCGCAAGACUGAACCAGCCAUGCCGCGUGCAGGAUGAAGCAUCUAUGGUGUGUAAACUGCUUUUGUACGGGAAGAAACACUGCUACGUGUAGCAGCUUGACGGUACCGUAAGAAUAAGGAUCGGCUAACUCCGUGCCAGCAGCCGCCGUAACAC